GGGAGGUGGAAAAGGAGGGGGGUCAGAGGUGAGAACCAGCUGGAGGAGUCAGGAACGAGAAGGGACCCGGAGGGGCAGGUGUCUGAAAUGUGGUCGUCCAGGUGACCGGAGGAUUCCUCUGGAGAAAGAGGGCCGCGCAUGCGCCUGAUGGAGCGCUGAAGCCCCAUUGCCCGCAGGGCGCCGGCUGGAUCCCGGGACGGUGGCUGUCCCGCCAGGCUCGGGGGCCAGGCUCUGGCCACGCUUGCUGGUCCUGGGUGGGGCUGGGAGCCGCUGAGGGCAGGGCAAGGGCGGCUGCGGACUUUGAGCUACACUUAUCCUCUCUAGAGGUCGGUCCAGAGAGAAGGUGGCGAGCUGAAGCGGCGGCCAGUUACGUGGCGGACCUGCGGGUCUCAGCUGGCACGUCACUUCCGACUGGUUGAGUUUUAGCCUUUUAACAUUCCAGGAUUAGGUAACCAUUCCGAGGAGGAAGAGUAUUUCAAAAAGUCUGUGAAGAAUGUGUUUGCCUGGAGACUGAUUAUUAACAAGAUUUUAUGCUGAAUAUGGAAGGAAAGAAUUCCUUUGUUGACUGCAGCCAGGAUGAGAAUCCCUGCUGGUGACCUUUCCUCCCCCUCCUGUCUGAGGGCAGUGGCUGUGGGGGCUGAAAUCUAGAGAAGAAACCCCUCAGAGGGAAAAGGAACGCAGGGUCAUUUGUCAUUGGAUUCUAUCAGAAAUCUGCACUUAUCCAGGCUGGCUUGGAUGGCCCACCUUGAGACUGUGGACCCCAGACCCUCAUAUCUUGUGUCCUGGUGAUUCCAGAUACUCACUGCAUGACUUCACUCUAUUCUGUGUGUCACCAGCAAGUCACUAUGUCCCUUCUGUUCCCAAAGUGGGUAUUAUUACACAAGGGCAUGAUACCGGAGGAUGGGACCACUGGGGCUAUCUUGGGAUCUGCCUACAGCAGGGGUAAUUUUGGGAACCACCUGAAUGUGUGGCCUCUCACAGGCCUGUGGCUAGGAAUGCAGAGAUCAGACCGAAAGAAGAGUUCAAGUCCGAGGAUGUUGGUGAUCACUCCCCAGGAAUCCAGAUCAGAGUCGGGAUGUCACACAUAGUUGCAGGGGGCCAGGCCUGAGGCUCCACCAGUCAGUGGACCACAUGCCAGACUCUGACUCAGGAUGGGUGAUGGAGAAGACGGGACAGUGCUGCAGGCAUUUGGCACAGGUGGUGUGAGUGGCCAUCAUGUCAUCCUGCUGCCAGGAGCAGCAGUGACAGCAGUCCUGGUCUCAAGGUGCGGUGGUUCCUCUUUGGGCCUUGACCUGGGGUGCGAUGAUGGAUUCUGUUCCUGCCUGUGCAGCCUUGGGCCUCUUCUGUGGCUUUCCCUGAAAUAAAAUGAGGCCUAGUACUCUCUAUCUAUAGUACAUAUUUUCCUACUUAUAUAAUUUAUAUAUUU